rfam:Danio rerio chromosome 14, GRCz11 reference primary assembly.
GCCGGCAGCUAGCUCUCUGCAACUCUCACAUGGUCACCCACUGAAGCUAAGCAGGGCUGCGCAGGGCAGUACCUGGAUGGGAGACCACAUGGGAAAGCUAGGUUGCUGCUGGAA